rnacentral:misc_RNA from 1 species
UACGAAGGGGGCUAGCGUUGUUCGGAAUCACUGGGCGUAAAGCGCACGUAGGCGGAUUAUUAAGUCGGGGGUGAAAUCCCGAGGCUCAACCUCGGAACUGCCUUCGAUACUGGUAAUCUUCGAGUCCGGGAGAGGUGAGUGGAACUCCGAGUGUAGAGGUGAAAUUCGUAGAUAUUCGGAAGAACACCAGUGGCGAAGGCGGCUCACUGGCCCGGUACUGACGCUGAGGCGCGAAAGCGUGGGGAGCAAACAGG